rnacentral:rRNA from 1 species
AUGGGGCUUCGCAGCAACCCCCAAAAAUCGUCAGCGGCAGCCCUUAACUGCGGUAGUAUCGACCUCAUAGACGUCCUUCAAAACUUCGGCGGCACUAGAGUAGGCUUCCCGAUCAGGUACCUCGGUCUCCCGCUCUGCAUCGGCAGGCUUUGGCUUGUGCACAUCCAAUACCUCAUCGACCGCAUCCGUGCACGGCUCGCGGCUUGGAAAGGCCGUCUCCUGCCGACCGCGGGUCGCCGCGUGCUGGUCCGGUGCGUCCUAUCCGCGCUGCCCGCCUUCGCCAUGGCAGUCCUGCGCAUCCCGAAAAGAUUCUACAAGGACGUCGACAAGGCUCGUCGGCGGUUCCUGUGGGCGCACGAUGAAGAGGUCACCGACGGCAAAUGCAAGGUGAACUGGCGGCUGGUCACGUCCCCAGUCGACCACGGCGGCCUCGGCAUCCCCAACAUGGAGCGGUUCGCGCGCGCGCUGCGCCUCCGAUGGCUAUGGCUGGCAUGGACGGACCCGGCCAGACCAUGGGCAGGCAUGGGGACGCCUUGUGACACCAAGGACAGAGAGCUCUUCGCCUCGACGACGACGGUGACGGUGGGUAGCGGCAGCAGAGCCCUCUUCUGGCACUGCACAUGGCUCGGCGACCAGCCGUUACGACAAGUCUACCCAGACCUGUUCAGGCGCUCAAUCAGAAAGAACCGCACGGUGGCGGACGCAUUACGCGAGGACAAAUGGAUCAUGGACCUCAGGCGCGGCAACAGCUUGGAGAUCGUCCCCCAGGCCGUUCAGUUGCAACGCCGCAUCAGAAAUGCAAAUCCAGUGCUGCGAAAAGGAAUCGAAGACAAGAUCGCAUGGAAAGCCGGAGGCCAAUACACAACGAGGUCAGCGUACAACUCCCAAUUCCCUUUGCAACCAGCAUCGACAUGA